AAUGACGGUAUCUGAGGAAUAAGCAUCAACUAACUCUAUGCCAGCAGCCGCAGUAAGACAGAGGAUGCAAGUGUUAUCCGGAAUGAUUGGGCGUAAAGCGUUUGUAGGUGGCUUUUCAAGUCCGCCAUCAAAUCCUAGGGCUCAACCCUGGAUAGGCGGUGGAAACUACCAAGCUAGAGUAUGGUAGGGGCAGAGGGAAUUUUCGGUGGAGCGGUGAAAUGCGUUGAGAUCGGAAAGAACACCAACGGCGAAAGCACUCUACUGGGAUGACACUGACACUGAGAGACGAAAUCUAGGGGAGAAAAUGGGAUUAGAUACCCCAGUAUUCCUAGCCGUAAAUGAUGGAUACUAAGUGUUGUGCGUAUCGACCCGCGCAGUGUUGUAGCUAACGCGUUAAGUAUCCCACCUGGGGAGUACGUCCGUGUUAAGAACCAAACAUCAAUAUAGCAUAGAAAAACCUCAGGAAAAGUACUCAACACCUUU
rnacentral:ncRNA from 1 species